CUAAACGUCCGUAGCCGGUUUGGUACAUUCGUGGGUAAAUCAAACAGCUUAACUGGUUGAAUUCUGCGAGCACGGCCAGACUUGGGACCGGGAGAGGUGUGGGGUACUCGCAGGGUAGGGGUAAAAUCCUGUCAUCCUGAGGGGACCACCUGUUGCGAAGGCGCCACACUAGAACGGAUCCGACGGUCAGGGACGAAGCCUAGGGGCACGAACCGGAUUAGAUACCCGGGUAGUCCUAGGUGUAAACGCUGUGGACUUGGUGUUGGGGAUGCUCCGAGGAUUCUCGGUGCCGGAGCGAAGAUGUUAAGUCCACUGCCUGGGGAGUACGGUCGCAAGGCUGAAACUUAAAGGAAUUGGCGGGG
rnacentral:rRNA from 1 species